GAUCAUAGGACUUUAUUUUUAGAACUGCCGCUUGCGCUCAUUAUGAAGUACAAAAUUCAUAUAUGUACAUAUGCUUUUGUUCUCUUAGGCUAAUAGAAAAUGUCAGUUUUCCUUAUUGAUACAUUUAAUACGUAGGCUCACUUCGCUAAGUAAUUUUAUGGGGCGGUCAAAUUCAAAAUUCUGGCUCAUUUAAGCUAAAUAUUAAGACACCGCCAAAGGUAUACAACCAUAUCAAAAUUUAUCACCUACUAAAGUUUCGAGCCUAUUUUUUUCUGGGCAUUAAUGGGUUGGAAAUCAAGACUGGCAAGAGUUAAAGUGGUCACUCUCAUCAAACAACUAUGUGAAAUUAUAUACCCUUUAAACACCCAUACUCCAACAACUAACUUUUCUUCGGGCGUUCACUUCAUUAAGAACAACAACCAAAAAAAAACAACCAAAAUCCAUCCAAAUGAUAAAGAAUGACAAAUACGCGGCAAAAAUCCGGAACUACACUAAAAAUUACACAUUCCUUUCAUUCUUGAUCGUAAGAAAGGAAAUCGCCAAUAAAGAGAGAUAAAUUCAUACUCAAAUACAUCACAGACAAAGGAUAUUAAGACCACAGACAUAUGACAGGAAAAUCUAGUAAGCAGACACUAAAAAAUAGUUUACCAAAGGAAAAAUUUCUAUGUUUACCAUUCAGCAGCGACCUGUCCUUCAGCGCUACCGUUACCUACAUCAGAAUGGUUUUGCAAAGGCUGUUGUUCUUCCGAAGCAGCAGGUUUGUCAUAUGAUUCAGUGGGAGCAGAUGACUCCAUUGAUGCUUCAGGAGCAGCUGAAUAGGAUUUGGAACCUUCAUAGGCAGGGGAGCGAUUCUCUUCUCUAUCACGUCUAGGAGAAGGACUACGGCUAUAAGCGUCACGUCGAUACUCAUCAUCAUGGGAAGGGCGUCCAUCAUCACGAGAACGACGGUAUUCGUCUCGUCCAGGGCGAUAUUCAUCACCUCUAGGACGACGAUACUCAUCAUCAUGAGGACGACGAUAAUCACUUCUGGAAUUACGUCUAUACUCAUCGCGACCACCACGACGGUAUUCAUCACGAUUAUUACGCCUGUAUUCACCACGAGGAGCAUAACGACGUUCAUCAUCUCUGCCGGGACGAUAAGCGUCACGACGGUAAUCGCCUCCUCUACGAUAAUCAUCACGAUAACGACGGCGAGCAGGUGGAGAACGUGAACGGAAGCGGGAGGGUACUUCGGGAAGGGGCUCAUUAGCGGCAUCCUGCUAAUCGUUAGAAAAUUUACGCAAGGAUCUUUAAAAAAGAUUAGAUGCUUACAGGGUCUUCGCGUAAAGUAACUGCUUGGCCUUUAAUGACUUCACCAUUAAGGCUCGUCAAAGCGUUUCUCAUAUCCUCUUCAGUAGAAAAUUCAACAACACUGCAUUAAAGUUAGGUGAAAAAAUGAUCAAAGUAGAAACUUACCCAGCACCAGGGUUUUCACGGUGAGCAUCUGUGAAAGUGGGUUCACCAGCUUUACGCAUUACAUCCUUCAGGUCCUAUGAAAAGUGUUAACACUGAAAUAUAGAUAUAUGAAAAAAAUCAUGCAUUGACGCAAAGGUCAUUAAAUGUAUAAAAUUGUCUUACCUGCCAACUGACAUCUUCUGAGAGAUUUUCCACAAUCAAACGGAAACCGGUGCGACGGGGACGGGGGUAUCUGAUACGUUAGUAUAAAAAUAUUGCCGUAAUUUUUAUAGGACAAUGCGAUUUUGCAAGCGAUAACACCGUAUAUAGUCACUACUCAGAGCUGAUUCACAUGUGAAGUGAACAAAAUCGUUAGAACCAGCAAUCGCGUGCAAUGCCAAAUCGCCCACUAAUCACAUAUUAAUGGAAACGUAACAACGUACUUAGAAGCAGCACUUUCUCUAAAGUUCUCUCUUCUUCUUCUUUCACCGCGAGCAGGUUCUACAACAAUACUUCGAACAUUAGCAUAUUUUAAUCUAAAUUCAUAAUGUAUUGACUUACCGGCUGCCCAUAAACUCUUUGCCCUCUUUUUUAUAAGAUUAGUAAAUAAAGUCGAAUAUUAAACCUUUGAAGCAUACGAAAGUCUAAACUGUUAGCAAAAGUUUUAAGAUGGUAUGAACGUACCAUUUACGAUAUCACGAGCAUCGCGAGCGUCUUCAACCUACAUCAAGUUAGUCACAUAGGGAUUACAAAAAGAAGGCUAAUGGUUUUAUUUACCUCAACAAAGCCAAAUCCAUUCAUCAGCUUGCAAUCAAGGAUUUGACCGUAACCUUUAAAAAAAUCCAUCAUAUCCUCGCGAGUCGCUAAAUUUUUGUUAAAAUACUAUUUACAUUAUUUAGUUACAAACCUUGAGGAGGAAUACGGCCAACAAACAAUCUAGUCUCCGACAUUUUUUUUUGGUGUAGUUGGUUCUUGCUGGGUGAAGUUCGACCCUCAGUCGGCAGUCUUGAGGCUGAAGGCCGGCGAAACCCAAGUUACAAAAUAUAAGAUAAUGAAAUAAAAUAUAAAAUCAAAUUAAAA